rnacentral:rRNA from 1 species
UACGUAGGGAGCAAGCGUUGUUCGGAUUUACUGGGCGUAAAGGGCGCGUAGGCGGCAGAUCAAGUCAGUUGUGAAAUCUCUGAGCUUAACUCAGAACUGUCAACUGAUACUGCUCUGCUAGAGUGCGGAAGGGGCAAUCGGAAUUCUUGGUGUAGCGGUGAAAUGCGUAGAUAUCAAGAGGAACACCUGAGGUGAAGACGGGUUGCUGGACCGACACUGACGCUGAGUGCGCGAAAGCCAGGGGAGCAAACGGG